rnacentral:rRNA from 1 species
GACGAACGCUGGCGGCGUGGAUUAGGCAUGCAAGUCGGACGGUAGAGCUUUAUCGUAAGAUAGAGUUUGAGAGUGGCGAACGGGUGAGUAACACGUAGGAAUCUACCCUUAAGACGGGGACAACCCAGGGAAACUUGGGCUAAUACCGGAUGAGAGUGCGAGAGAUUGCAUUUAAAAGGAUGGCGAAAGUUGUCGCUUAGGGAUGAGCCUGCGGUCUAUUAGUUAGUUGGUGAGGUAAGAGCUCACCAAGGCGAUGAUAGAUAGGCGGCCUUAACGGGUGGUCGCCCACACUGGGAUUGAGAUACGGCCCAGACUCCUACGGGAGGCAGCAGUCGAGAAUAGUCUACAAUGGUCGGAAGACUGAUAGUGCGACGCCGCGUGAACGAUGAAUCCCUUCGGGGUUAAAGUUCUUUUAUAUGUGAGCAGUGCUUCUUAUAUUAACAGUAUGGGGAGAGAGAUAUUAGCAUAUGAAUAAGCAACGGCUAACUCCGUGCC